GAUGAACGCUGGCGGCGUGCCUAAUACAUGCAAGUCGAGCGAACGGACGAGAAGCUUGCUUCUCUGAUGUUAGCGGCGGACGGGUGAGUAACACGUGGAUAACCUACCUAUAAGACUGGGAUAACUUCGGGAAACCGGAGCUAAUACCGGAUAAUAUUUUGAACCGCAUGGUUCAAAAGUGAAAGACGGUCUUGCUGUCACUUAUAGAUGGAUCCGCGCUGCAUUAGCUAGUUGGUAAGGUAACGGCUUACCAAGGCAACGAUGCAUAGCCGACCUGAGAGGGUGAUCGGCCACACUGGAACUGAGACACGGUCCAGACUCCUACGGGAGGCAGCAGUAGGGAAUCUUCCGCAAUGGGCGAAAGCCUGACGGAGCAACGCCGCGUGAGUGAUGAAGGUCUUCGGAUCGUAAAACGCUGUUAUUAGGGAAGAACAUAUGUGUAAGUAACUGUGCACAUCUUGACGGUACCGAAUCAGAAAGCCACGGCUAACUACGUG
rnacentral:rRNA from 1 species